rnacentral:rRNA from 1 species
UACGUAGGGCGCGAGCGUUGUCCGGAAUCAUUGGGCGUAAAGAGCUCGUAGGCGGUUUGUCGCGUCUGCUGUGAAAACCCGAGGCUCAACCUCGGGCCUGCAGUCGAUACGGGCAGGCUAGAGGUCCGGCAGGGGAGAACUGGAAUUCCUGGUGUAGCGGUGAAAUGCGCAGAUAUCAGGAGGAACACCGGUGGCGAAGGCGGGUCUCUGGGCCGGAACUGACGCGUUGGAGGAGCGAAAGCGUGGGGAGCGAACAGG